GCGGCGCAUUAGCUAGUUGGUGGGGUAAAGGCUUACCAAGGCAAUGAUGCGUAGCCGAACUGAGAGGUUGAUCGGCCACAUUGGGACUGAGACACGGCCCAAACUCCUACGGGAGGCAGCAGUAGGGAAUCUUCCACAAUGGGCGAAAGCCUGAUGGAGCAACGCCGCGUGGGUGAAGAAGGUCUUCGGAUCGUAAAACCCUGUUGUUAGAGAAGAAAGUGCGUGAGAGUAACUGUUCACGUUUCGACGGUAUCUAACCAGAAAGCCACGGCUAACUACGUGCCAGCAGCCGCGGUAAUACGUAGGUGGCAAGCGUUAUCCGGAUUUAUUGGGCGUAAAGGGAACGCAGGCGGUCUUUUAAGUCUGAUGUGAAAGCCUUCGGCUUAACCGGAGUAGUGCAUUGGAAACUGGGAGACUUGAGUGCAGAAGAGGAGAGUGGAACUCCAUGUGUAGCGGUGAAAUGCGUAGAUAUAUGGAAGAACACCAGUGGCGAAAGCGGCUCUCUGGUCUGUAACUGACGCUGAGGUUCGAAAGCGUGGGUAGCAAACAGGAUUAGAUACCCUGGUAGUCCACGCCGUAAACGAUGAAUGCUAAGUGUUGGAGGGUUUCCGCCCUUCA
rnacentral:rRNA from 1 species